GCAGUCGAGGGGUAUGGGUUGCUUGCAACCCAGAGACCGGCGCACGGGUGCGUAACGCGUAUGCAACCUACCUUGAUCAGGGGGAUAGCCCGGAGAAAUCCGGAUUAACACCGCAUAACAUUGUGAUAUGGCAUCAUAUUAUAAUCAAAUAUUUAUAGGAUCGAGAUGGGCAUGCGUGACAUUAGUUAGUUGGUGAGGUAACGGCUCACCAAGACUGUGAUGUCUAGGGGAUCUGAGAGGAUGACCCCCCACACUGGUACUGAGACACGGACCAGACUCCUACGGGAGGCAGCAGUAAGGAAUAUUGGUCAAUGGGCGCAAGCCUGAACCAGCCAUGCCGCGUGCAGGAAGACGGCCCUACGGGUUGUAAACUGCUUUUGUACCGGAAUAAACCUGCUCUCGUGAGAGCAGCUGAACGUACGGUAAGAAUAAGGAUCGGCUAACUCCGUGCCAGCAGCCGCGGUAAUACGGAGGAUCCAAGCGUUAUCCGGAUUUAUUGGGUUUAAAGGGUGCGUAGGCGGCUUUUUAAGUCAGGGGUGAAAACUUGCGGCUCAACCGUAAGCUUGCCUUUGAUACUGAGGAGCUUGAAUACACUUGAGGUAGGCGGAAUGUGACAAGUAGCGGUGAAAUGCAUAGAUAUGUCACAGAACACCAAUUGCGAAGGCAGCUUACUAAAGUGAGAUUGACGCU
rnacentral:rRNA from 1 species